rnacentral:rRNA from 1 species
GAUGAACGCUGGCGGCGUGCUUAACACAUGCAAGUCGAACGGUGAACGAGGGAGCUUGCUCCCUCCGGAUCAGUGGCGAACGGGUGAGUAACACGUGAGCAACCUGCCCUCAGCUCUGGGAUAACCCCAAGAAAUUGGGGCUAAUACCGGAUACGACCGCUGACCGCAUGGUCGGUGGUGGAAAGUUUUUCGGCUGGGGAUGGGCCCGCGGCCUAUCAGCUUGUUGGUGGGGUAGUGGCCUACCAAGGCGACGACGGGUAGCCGGCCUGAGAGGGUGAACGGCCACACUGGGACUGAGACACGGCCCAGACUCCUACGGGAGGCAGCAGUGGGGAAUAUUGCACAAUGGGCGCAAGCCUGAUGCAGCGACGCCGCGUGAAGGAUGAAGGUCUUCGGAUUGUAAACUUCUAUCAGCAGGGAAGAAUACCAUGACGGUACCUGACUAAGAAGCCCCGGCUAACUACGUGCCAGCAGCCGCCGUAACAC